rnacentral:rRNA from 1 species
ACUCCUACGGGAGGCAGCAGUGGGGAAUAUUGCACAAUGGGGAAACCCUGAUGCAGCCAUGCCGCGUGUGUGAAGAAGGCCUUCGGUUGUAAAGCACUUUCAGUAGGGAGGAAGGUAGUGUAGUUAACACCUGCAUUAUUUGACGUUACCUACAGAAGAAGCACCGGCUAACUCCGUGCCAGCAGCCGCGGUAAUACGGAGGGGUGCGAGCGUUAAUCGGAAUUACUGGGCGUAAAGCGCAUGCAGGCGGCCUGUUAAGUCAGAUGUGAAAGCCCGGGGGCUUAACCUCGGAAUUGCAUUUGAAACUGGCAGGCUAGAGUCUUGUAGAGGGGGUAGAAUUUCAGGUGUAGCGGUGAAAUGCGUAGAGAUCUGAAGGAAUACCAGUGGCGAAGGCGGCCCCCUGGACAAAGACUGACGCUCAGAUGCGAAAGCGUGGGGAGCGAAACAGGAUUAGAUACCCUGGUAGCAC